UUGCAAAGAGAUCAAAAUCCUGUGGACUAGAGUCAAAACAAGUGCUGUGGGGUGGCUUUUAGGGUUGUUUUGUUUUGGAUACCACCACAAUCAGAUGUUUCUUAAUCGCACAUGCAAGUCAGGUGUCUGUGUGGGUCUGGAGGUGACUCAGUCCCUGUACCAGUGAAACAAGGUGAGAAAGGAAGGGAGUGUAGGAUGGGAGUAGUAGCUUAGGCCUCAAAAAGCACUGCCACGCAGUGGAAAUGGAUUGAGGGGUGGCUGUGUUGCUGUGUGAAAGCACUGAAGGACAGACCCAGGUGGCAUUAUUCAGUCAAGCAACUGUUCAUUAGUGCUCAUUAAAAGCCAGCUUAGCCAAAUUGAUGAUUAAGAUGAAGCUGCCUAUUAAGUCGGUUAUGCUGACCACCACAGUAAGUAAUCGCCUUUUUAACCUAUGAAGUUCCUUUUAAGUCGAGGCAGCAUUGUCGAGUCAGAGUGCUGUGACGAGAGCCACCACAUGCGGAGCCUCCCGUGUGCCUUCCUAUCCACCAUGGCAACAUUCUAGCGCGAAACGCGGCGCUCGGGGACGACGCUGAGCACAGGAGGGUUACUGCUGCAGCUGAUCGCCCUCAGUUUAACAGCUGCACCCCGACGUUGGCCCCGUAUUUAGACGCCGUGUUGGUGCGAGGGGCCGGUGCCGGUUACGUUGGUUGAGGCGCGCUCGCCCUAGCGGUGCUCUCACAGGGCCCGAGGCGGGAAAGAGCGUGCCGCGUGCAGAGGUGCUGCCGCGUGCCGCUGGGGGGCAGCAGAGCGCCGGGCAGCAAAGCGGAGCUGAGGGGAACGGCCCGGAGGCUCCGCGCGUGAACCCCGCAACGUUGGGCGGCCGCCUCGUGCCGGGUUCGUCCCGCCGGGUUCGGGGAACGCUACUCACGUGCUUCAGCCACAGCCCCAGCUAGAAAUGAGCUAAAGCAUCAAAGGCCAGAUCACAGCCCAUGUUCCCCAAAAUUCAGUGUCUAAACCAGAAGAGUUUGGAAACGGCUGAUCUCUAGAGGCAGUGAAGAGCCAUUGUAUCCAGAAAUACAGAUGAUCGUGGAAGAAUUGAAAGGAGCAUUCUUUAGUGAUUAUCCCUGCAAUCUCCUACUGUCAUUUUAUCUCCAACUUACUGUCUAC